CUGUAGAUGGAGCACAUUCUUACACCUGCGUGCAAAGCCGGAGCUACGGCAGGAGCUGAGCGCUCAGUGCGGCUCCCGGCAUACCAAAAGCGGAUCAAAUCUGUGGGACAUGGCACAAGGAAAUAAUUAUGGGCAAAGCAGCAAUGGGGUGGCUGAUGAAUCCCCAAACAUGCUGGUGUACAGAAAGAGAAGCUACUGCUGUGCUUUGCCAUGAAUGGAGCAGUGUGAUUUCAGGAUGUGGUCACCUGAUAUGAAUUUGGAAUGUUUUGGCUGCUGAUGUUUAUGCUAUCUAAGGCAGAUCAAACGGCUUGUGAGAACUAGAUCUAUACCUCAGGAACUGCUAGCGACUCUUUUUUUAUGAAGUGACUAGAUUUCUUGUUUUGAAUAGCAAAAUAUAUGUGCCUUAACUUUGCAUCACGUUCAGAAACUGUUUAGAAUUUGAAAUCUUCAUGUAUUCAUUUUAUGCAUUGAAACAUAUGGCAUGUGAUGGUGGUGAUGUGUCAGUCUGGAAAAUGUUGUGGGUUCAAGUGUUCACUCACAAAAUCUAUUAAUAAAAUGAAUGCAGGCAUUAUACUUAUCUGCAAUCACCAGAACAUAAAAACAGAAAAAUUGAAACAAAACACAACAUGACAACACAAAUGUACACUCUGGGGAUUCUCUCUGGAAAGCAUAUCUAAUGUAGUUAUUCUAAUUCCAUCAAUACACAAAUUUCUAGAUCCCGAGCUCCAACAGUGUGGUUUAUAUAGCCUCUACACUUUCAUUUUUGUUAAAGUAGAUGCUUGGGGAUUUUGUGAUGGGUUGAUACAUCUUUAUUUUUCUUUAUUUUAAACUUGACAAUUGUCACUCUUCCAGUGAAUAAAAAAAAUUAUGGUAAUAAACACAUCUUAAUAAUGCAGAAGAAUAGCUGUUCUUGCAAACUGAAAUAUGUAAUUGCACAACUACUUGUUUAUUCCUAGAAUGCAGUGCUUUCUAACUUGUUUGUGGUUGUUUCUAUCAGGUGGAAAAAUCAAUGUUUUUUUUUUUUCUUAGAGCCUUCAACUUUUCUUUUUGCAAUUUAACUGUAAUAGAAAAUAUCUGAAUACGUAUCAGAUAAGUUUUUGAGGUGAACUGAGGUAUCAUCAGUAACUGUGUUUUUUCCCCAGAAAUUAUAAAAUAGUUUCAAAAUGAAGACUGAUACAUACUCUAUUUUUUCAUUCUUAUUUUCAAAUAUGUUGCUGAUUUCAGUGACUUUCAGUGUUAUUUUCCAUUAUUUACUGUCUUGGAAAAUCAGGCUUCUUUUUACACAAAUGAGAUUUAUGAACUUAAUCUUAGUUAUACAUGUGUGUAAGAACAGACAUCUGGAAAAAAUAGAGUACCUUACCAGUAACUUGACAAGUGUGUUUCAAAAUGAAAUAAUGUGCAUGAAUUUAUAUGUAAAAAAAAAAAUGUGCUGUGCAGAUAUAAAGCAAUAUAGCAAAGCUUAUUGUCCUUUACAGGCUUCUGAUCUUUCCGAACAGCAUCUUUUCAUAUUUGUCAUGUACUUCUAUGCUGAAAAAGUGC